CCUACGGGAGGCAGCAGUGGGGAAUAUUGCACAAUGGGGGAAACCCUGAUGCAGCGACGCCGCGUGAGUGAAGAAGUACUUCGUUUUGUAAAGCUCUGUCAGCAGGGAAGAAAAUGACGGUACCUAAUUAAGAAGCCCCGGCUAACUACGUGCCAGCAGCCGCGGUAAUACGUAGGGGGCGAGCGUUAUCCGGAUUUACUGGGUGUAAAGGGAGCGUAGACGGCAGUGCAAGUCUGGAGUGAAAGGCGGGGGCUCAACCUCCGGACUGCUCUGGAAACUGUACGGCUGGAGUGCAGGAGAGGUAAGUGGAAUUCCUAGUGUAGCGGUGAAAUGCGUAGAUAUUAGGAGGAACACCAGUGGCGAAGGCGGCUUACUGGACUGUAACUGACGUUGAGGAUCGAAAGCGUGGGGAGCAAACAGGAUUAGAUACCCUAGUAGUC
rnacentral:rRNA from 1 species